GAUGAACGCUAGCGGGAGGCCUAACACAUGCAAGCCGAGCGGUAUUGUUUCUUCGGAGAUGAGAGAGCGGCGUACGGGUGCGUAACACGUGUGCAACCUGCCUUUAUCUGGGGGAUAGCCUUUCGAAAGGAAGAUUAAUACUCCAUAAUAUAUUGAACGGCAUCGUUUAAUAUUGAAAGCUCCGGCGGAUAGAGAUGGGCACGCGCAAGAUUAGCUAGUUGGUGAGGUAACGGCUCACCAAGGCGAUGAUCUUUAGGGGGCCUGAGAGGGUGAUCCCCCACACUGGUACUGAGACACGGACCAGACUCCUACGGGAGGCAGCAGUGAGGAAUAUUGGUCAAUGGGUGCAAGCCUGAACCAGCCAUCCCGCGUGAAGGACGACUGCCCUAUGGGUUGUAAACUUCUUUUGUAUAGGGAUAAACCUACCCUCGUGAGGGUAGCUGAAGGUACUAUACGAAUAAGCACCGGCUAACUCCGUGCCAGCCGCCGCAGUAACAC
rnacentral:rRNA from 1 species